rnacentral:rRNA from 1 species
ACAGAGGAGACAGGUGGUGCAUGGUUGUCGUCAGCUCGUGUCGUGAGAUGUUGGGUUAAGUCCCGCAACGAGCGCAACCCUUGACUUUAGUUGCCAGCAAGUGAAGUUGGGCACUCUAGAGUGACUGCCGGUGACAAACCGGAGGAAGGUGGGGAUGACGUCAAAUCAUCAUGCCCCUUAUGACCUGGGCUACACACGUACUACAAUGGCCGGUACAACGGGAAGCGAAGGAGCGAUCUGGAGCGAAUCCUAGAAAAGCCGGUCUCAGUUCGGAUUGCAGGCUGCAACUCGCCUGCAUGAAGUCGGAAUUGCUAGUAAUCGCGGAUCAGCAUGCCGCGGUGAAUACGUUCCCGGGUCUUGUACACACCGCCCGUCACACCACGAGAGUUUACAACACCCGAAGUCGGUGAGGUAACCGCAAGGGGCCUGCCGCCGAAGGUGGGGUAGAUGAUUGGGGUGAAGUCGUAACAAGGUAGCCGUAUCGGAAGGUGCGGCUGGAUCACCUC